GACGAACGCUGGCGGCGUGCUUAACACAUGCAAGUCGAACGAGACGAUUUAGAAGCUUGCUUUUAUUGAGUCGAGUGGCAAACGGGUGAGUAACGCGUAGACAACCUGCCGCAAAGAUGGGGACAACAGUCCGAAAGGACUGCUAAUACCGAAUGUUGUAUCUCCUCCGCAUGGAAGAGAUAUUAAAGAUGGCCUCUACUUGUAAGCUAUCGCUUUGCGAUGGGUCUGCGUCUGAUUAGCUAGUUGGUGGGGCAACGGCCUACCAAGGCGACGAUCAGUAGCCGGUCUGAGAGGAUGAACGGCCACAUUGGAACUGAGACACGGUCCAGACUCCUACGGGAGGCAGCAGUGGGGAAUCUUCCGCAACUGGGCGAAAGCCUGACGGAGCAACGCCGCGUGAGUGAAGAAGGUCUUCGGAUCGUAAAGCUCUGUUGUCGGGGACGAAUGUUGAGACCUAGAACAUAGGUUCAAAUGACGGUACCUGACGAGGAAGCCG
rnacentral:rRNA from 1 species